GAUGGAAGUGUGCUGUCGUCAUGUUUCUUUUUUAUAAGAAUAGUAAUAAAAUGACAAGAGUCAGUUCAACCGAAAUACCCUUAUCACCCCGAAUAAAGCCGGCUACACACUUACAGUAGUUGUGGUAUUUCCUGGGUUUCUUGGGUCCAAUCGUUCAAUAUUCGAAUCAAGAACAGUGAUCUAAACGGGACCAAAGUAAUCAGUAAACAAGAAGACAUGAUUUGAAGAUAAAAUCACCUCUUAAGGAAAAUAAAUUACUGGUGUACAAUGGUAUUAUAACAGAUGAUAAAUGAAUUGAAUAUUAACAAAUCAAAGAAACUGGUGCACACAAAUGGAGUGCUAAAUGGCCAUCUGCACACCCCUCUCUUAUUCAUUACAAUACCAGCUGAUCCACGAGUUCCAAAAGUCAGACAGUGUCAAUAUAUUUGUAUGCAGAUGAUAUGAUCAUUGCCUUGAGGUCCAAAGAAGAUCUGCAUUGUCUCAAGAAACUAAUAAAAUUGGUAAAUACAAAUGGAUUUAAAAUCAACCAAAUGAAAAUCUAUGAUAGGAUGUAAAAAAUUAAGACCCUCUGUAAUAACGUGGACAAUUCUUUUGCCAAAUUCUACAAUCUACCAGAACAUCAGGCAGUGGAAGAAGUUAUAUUUGACAAAGAGCAAAUUAUUUCAAGCAGGAAUUAUAUUUACAUGAAACAUACACAGAUAUAAAUAGUAAAACUGUCCCACUAUAUGCCAUGUAGGUGCUUGGGGGGACAGGUUGUAUAACUCGUACUUAUUCUUGAC